GACGAACGCUGGCGGCGUGCUUAACACAUGCAAGUCGAACGGAAAGGCCCUGCUUUUGUGGGGUGCUCGAGUGGCGAACGGGUGAGUAACACGUGAGUAACCUGCCCUUGACUUUGGGAUAACUUCAGGAAACUGGGGCUAAUACCGGAUAGGAGCUCCUGCUGCAUGGUGGGGGUUGGAAGGUUUCGGCGGUUGGGGAUGGACUCGCGGCUUAUCAGCUUGAUGGUGGGGUAGUGGCUUACCAAGGCUUUGACGGGUAGCCGGCCUGAGAGGGUGACCGGCCACAUUGGGACUGAGAUACGGCCCAGACUCCUACGGGAGGCAGCAGUGGGGAAUAUUGCACAAUGGGCGGAAGCCUGAUGCAGCAACGCCGCGUGCGGGAUGACGGCCUUCGGGUUGUAAACCGCUUUCGCCUGUGACGAAGCGUGAGUGACGGUAAUGGGUAAAGAAGCACCGGCUAACUACGUG
rnacentral:rRNA from 1 species